AGCAACUCCGGCUCCCAAACCAGAAUGCCAGAGUAUUAACUUACAAUGAGAAUGACUGCGGCGGAGGGCAGAGGUUAUAAAAAAGGAAACUAUUCUUUGGGACACACUCAAAUGAUGCAAGAGGAGUACAAAGAAAGUGAAAGUCACCUGCUCUCCUGCUCAUCAGACGUGACUGUGUUGGCUAGUGUCCUUCCUGGCACAUCCGGUCACGGGCGACCUUACUAACUUCCCUGUACUCCAUCUGACAAAUCCUGUAUGUGCCUCAAAAUCCAACCCAGGCGUCCGGCCCCUUUGUGAUGUCUCCUUGACACC